GACUGCACUGUAACAGGGACUGUACUAAAACAGGGGACUGCACUGUAACAGGGACUGCACUAUAACAGGGGACUGCAUUGUAACAGGGGCUGCACUAUAACAGGGUCUGCACUGUAUGAGGGACUGCACUGUAACAGGGGCUGCACUGUAACAGGGGACUGCAUUGUAACAGGGGCUGCACUGUAACAGGGACUGCAUUGUAACAGG